UAGUCGUGUUUGUAGUAGUCCCACAUUGGUUCUAAGUCUUUGGCCUCCUGCUUUUUGUAUACUAGAAAUAGAGUGAGUCACUCUUGUCUCAUUUUCUCUAUCAAUGAAAUCAUAGAUCAUUCCAUGAAUUAUCAAAAAGAAUCCCUCUCUCUUAAUGACUCUUCUUAGGGAGUAGAAUCUGUUGCCUAGGAGCUCAGAGAAAGGUAGCGAAGUAAUAUUUUCUUUUGAAAGCAAAGAGGAGUGGAGUGGCGGUCGCGCAAGCAAGCGAAGUAUAAUAAGCCAAAACGAUUAUGCAAAUUGGCCCCUUCAACUACUUAGGCGCAGGAUAGAAGAUGAUGGAGCAGCAUACCGGAGGAAAAGAGACGUCCUAAUUCGAAUCAAAAAUACAAAAUCAAAAUAAUGAAUUAGGCAUCAUGUUCACUAGGUUAUUCUUAUAUGGACAACGUUUGGAGAACGGAUGACUAGAACAGAUCGGUAAAGGCCUGACUCUAUUCCUUCCUAAGGUCAGGAAUAGCGGCCUUAAAGCUUCUCCUACUAUCGGCUACCUAACUGU
rnacentral:lncRNA from 1 species